AAUCUUUUUGGCUUCUUGUGUCCUUUUCUCUCUUAUCCCCACCCACU
rnacentral:sRNA from 1 species